GUCGUCAGCUCGUGUCGUGAGAUGUUGGGUUAAGUCCCGCAACGAGCGCAACCCUUGUCCUUAGUUGCUACGCAAGAGCACUCUAAGGAGACUGCCGGUGACAAACCGGAGGAAGGUGGGGAUGACGUCAAGUCCUCAUGGCCCUUAUGGGUAGGGCUUCACACGUCAUACAAUGGUCGGUACAGAGGGUUGCCAAGCCGCGAGGUGGAGCCAAUCCCACAAAGCCGAUCGUAGUCCGGAUUGUUCUCUGCAACUCGAGAGCAUGAAGUCGGAAUCGCUAGUAAUCGCAGGUCAGCAUACUGCGGUGAAUACGUUCCCGGGUCUU
rnacentral:rRNA from 1 species